rnacentral:rRNA from 1 species
UACGAAGGGUGCAAGCGUUACUCGGAAUUACUGGGCGUAAAGCGUGCGUAGGUGGUUCGUUAAGUCUGUCGUGAAAGCCCCGGGCUCAACCUGGGAAUGGCGAUGGAUACUGGCGGGCUAGAGUGCGGUAGAGGAGAGUGGAAUUCCCGGUGUAGCGGUGAAAUGCGCAGAUAUCAGGAAGAACACCAAUGGCGAAAGCAGCUUUCUGGGACGGUACUGACGCUGAGACGCGAAAGCGUGGGGAGCGAACAGG